UGUAGCUGUCCGGGUAUAUAAGGUCCUGCGGGCGGGCUGUGCUCCCCACUUUGCCUGCGCCCAACCCCGAACCAGCGGUUCUUUACGCACCUGGCUAUCAGCGAGACUCGCGGCGCACCGACGGAGCGGACAUGGGCAGAGCCAUGGUUGCUAGGCUCGGACUGGGGCUGCUGCUUCUAGCGCUGCUCCUACCCACGCAGAUUUACUCAGAUUCAUCCACUACCACACCUGCAAACACCUCUCCCCAGAAUAAUACCACGUCUAGCCCCAGUCCAACGAAUACCACCACCACCAAGGCAAGUAGUGAUGGGGCCCUGCAGUCAACCGCCAGUCUCUUGCUGAUCUCCUUCUCUCUUCUGCAUCUCUACUGUUGAGAGACUCGGGCCAAGAAACGUCUGUACUUCUUUAUCUUCUAAACCCAAUCCAAAUGGCGUCCAGUGUGACAAGGAAAAAUCAGAACUUUGAAUCGUAUUCCACACCUAAUCUUAUUGACACAGAAAAUGUUGAGGAUCUCCAAUUUGAUUGGCUUGAAGAGCAUGUUCAAGGUUUGACUAGAUGAUGAAUGCCAAUAUUAAAUCUGUUGGACUUUCAUAUACAAGAUGAAGAGAAACACAUCCCAAAUUAGUUGAGCGGUGAUUUCCUUAAAUGUGGCUUAAGAAGUAUGGACACAUAAAAUGCUACCUUGAAAAUGAAUAGAUCUUGUGUUAUGUAGAGAUAAAGGAUGGAAGUUGGAACAGAGUCAGUUUUCCUUUGGUUCAUUACAGUUAUAAGGCCAUAAAAUAAUUAGGUAAUGCAAAAAGCUAUUUAUAUGUACAUUAGAAGGAUCUUCCAGGUGUUCCUGUAAAUCCUCAAUGUAUUAUUUCACAGCGCUAAUUUAAUGAGGAUGUAACUCUAGAUAAAGUUUUACAUUGUUAAGCUAUCACUGGUCUCUUGGGGACUGAACUCUUUCCUCUGAGGCUUUGGAUUUGACAUAGCAUUUGGCUUUUUGUGUAAUAAUUGAUAUGUGCAGGGCAAUGAUGGAUUGGAAUCUACCCCAAAUCCAAGCAUAAUUAGUAAAUUCUUCUUAUAUUCAACAAGAGCACCAGAUUCAUUUAGCUAAACUAAUUCCAAAGAGUAGAAGUACACUGACCUCAACUAAUGUCAAAGUGCUUUUUAUUUCUGCAUAAGUUGAGUCAUUUUUACAAUUGAAGAAAUGGUCAUUUUUGACAAAUUUUAAAAUUGAAAAGGCAGAUAAUAUGAAGAAGCCCAAACUGUAAAUUAGGUUAUUUGGGAAGUGAAGACUGGAAGCUUGCAUUAAAUUCAGAAAAACUUUUGUACUCUUUCUGUACAUACUUUUUUUAAAAUUAGGAAUCAAAAUAGUGUUGAAACACUUUCUGUUGUUGGCCAAUAUUUUUAGAUAGUUAAAGCCUGAUCCAAAGCCUAAGGUAGGCUUGAUUCUGGAAAGCAAAUCUUUUUACAACUGCCUCGAUGCACAGAACCUUUUUAAAAAUUGACAUUCCCUAAAGUCUUUUGUUCGCAUGGUCACACACUGAGGCUUAGAUGUUCCAGUAUCUGACAUGGCCACGGUAGUCUUGAUAACCGAAGUCAUUGUUUUCCAUCUUUAGAAACCUACCCAGGAACACCGUACUCAGCAGAUCUCAAGCUAUUGUGUGUGUGAAUGAACAUUCCCUUUUGUUUCAAACCUGAAUGCUGUACAUCUAUUUUGGAUUGUAUAUUGUGUUUGUGUAUUUAUGCCUUGAUUCAUAGUAAUUUCUCAUGUUAUGGAGUUGAUUUGCAUUGAACACAAACCAUAAAUAAAAAAAUGGCUGAAAAAGCAA